AACGAACGCUGGCGGCAGGCCUAACACAUGCAAGUCGAGCGCCCUUUCGGGGGAGCGGCGGCCGGGUGAGUAACGCGUGGGAAUAUGCCCUUCUCUACGGAAUAGCCUCGGGAAACUGAGAGUAAUACCGUAUACGCCCUGUGGGGGAAAGAUUUAUCGGGGAAGGAUUAGCCCGCGUUGGAUUAGGUAGUUGGUGGGGUAAUGGCCUACCAAGCCGACGAUCCAUAGCUGGUUUGAGAGGAUGAUCAGCCACACUGGGACUGAGACACGGCCCAGACUCCUACGGGAGGCAGCAGUGGGGAAUCUUAGACAAUGGGGGCAACCCUGAUCUAGCCAUGCCGCGUGAGUGAUGAAGGCCUUAGGGUUGUAAAGCGCUUUCAGCUGGGAAGAUAAUGACGGUACCAGCAGAAGAAGCCCCGGCUAACUCCGUG
rnacentral:rRNA from 1 species